rnacentral:rRNA from 1 species
GACGAACGCUGGCGGCGUGCUUAACACAUGCAAGUCGAACGGAAAGGCCCUGCUUUUGUGGGGUGCUCGAGUGGCGAACGGGUGAGUAACACGUGAGUAACCUGCCCUUGACUUUGGGAUAACUUCAGGAAACUGGGGCUAAUACCGGAUAGGAGCUCCUGCUGCAUGGUGGGGGUUGGAAAGUUUCGGCGGUUGGGGAUGGACUCGCGGCUUAUCAGCUUGUUGGCGGGGUAGUGGCUUACCAAGGCUUUGACGGGUAGCCGGCCUGAGAGGGUGACCGGCCACAUUGGGACUGAGAUACGGCCCAGACUCCUACGGGAGGCAGCAGUGGGGAAUAGUGCACAAUGGGCGGAAGCCUGAUGCAGCAACGCCGCGUGCGGGAUGACGGCCUUCGGGUUGUAAACCGCUUUCGCCUGUGACGAAGCGUGAGUGACGGUAAUGGGUAAAGAAGCACCGGCUAACUACGUG